AGAGCGAGCUCCCGGCUGUGGUAGCUGAGUGCCGAUAUGGUGUGUUUCAGCCACAGGUCUAUCACGCCCUGUACACAGGAGGGGAAGGUGGACGACCUCAAGAAGCCCAAGGUGUUUAAUGCCUAUUUUGUGUCACUCUUCAUGAAAAAGGUUACUUGUGA